rnacentral:rRNA from 1 species
WUAUAUCAGUUAUGGUUCCUUARAUCGUAUCCACAAUUACUUGGAUAACUGKGGUAAUUCUAGAGCUAAUACAUGCAUUUAAAGAGAGACCAGUAAAAUGGAAUCUCUGCUUUUAUUAGAUUUAAACCAAUGGGGAGUGCUUCGGCAUUUUCAAUUUAAAUGGUUGAACUCUGGAUAAUUUGUUGAUCGCAUGGUCUUGUACCGGCGACGGAUCUUUCAAAUGUCUGCCCUAUCAACUAUUGAAGGUAGUGUCUUGGACUACCUUGGUUGCAACGGGUAACGGGGAAUCAGGGUUCGAUUCCGGAGAGGGAGCCUGAGAAACGGCUACCACAUCUAAGGAAGGCAGCAGGCGCGUAAAUUACCCACUCCCAGCACGGGGAGGUAGUGACGAAAAAUAACAAUACAAGACUCACAUCCGAGGCCUUGUAAUUGGAAUGAGUACACUUUAAAUCCUUUAACAAGGAUCAAUUGGAGGGCAAGUCUGGUGCCAGCAGCCGCGGUAAUUCCAGCUCCAAUAGCGUAUAUUAAAGUUGUUGCGGUUAAAACGUUCGUAGUUGAACUUGUGUUUCGCACGGGCAGUACCUAGGACUAGGCGACUAGGACGGUACCUGUCUUAUCUUUCCUUGUCUUUCAUUGGAUUUGGAAAAAGUGCGUGAACGUAUUAUCGGCGUGUUCGUUCUUGUAACGUUCACAUAAGCCCAUUUCAGUGCUCUUGACCGAGUGUUGUUGUGGGCCGAUACAAAUUACUUUGAACAAAUUAGAGUGCUUAAAGCAGGCUUGUAAUGCCUGAAUAUUUUGUGCAUGGAAUAAUGAAAUAGGACAUCUGUUCUACUUUCAUUGGUUUUUUAGACCAAGAUGUAAUGAUUAAUGGAAGCAGUUGGGGGCAUUAGUAUUACAACGCGAGAGGUGAAAUUCUUAGACCGUUGUAAGACUGACUAAAGCGAAAGCAUUUGCCAAAGAUGUUUUCAUUUAAUCAAGAACGAAAGUUAGAGGUUCGAAGGCGAUCAGAUACCGCCCUAGUUCUAACCAUAAACGAUGCCAGCUAGCAAUUGAGUGUAGCUACUACUAUGGCUCUUUCAGUCGCUUCUCGGGAAACCAAAGCUUUUGGGCUCCGGGGGAAGUAUGGUUGCAAAGCUGAAACUUAAAGGAAUUGACGGAAGGGCACCACCAGGAGUGGAGCCUGCGGCUUAAUUUGACUCAACACGGGAAAACUUACCAGGUCCGAACAUAAAUGAGUAAGACAGAUUGAUAGCUCUUUCUCGAAUCUAUGGGUGGUGGUGCAUGGCCGUUCUUAGUUCGUGGAGUGAUUUGUCUGGUUAAUUCCGAUAACGAACGAGACUCAAAUAUAUUAAAUAGAUGCAUUCAGGAUUAUGAUAUUGAAGCUUUGCAUACCCUUUUGUUAAUUUGUAACUUUCAGACAGUUUCGGCUGUUUUGUUUGUGCAAUUGAUAAUGUUGUGGUUAUGUAGGUGGAGUCAUACCUGUUUGUUUGUCUAAAUACACAAAAUAGACACUUAGCUUCUUAAAUGGACAAAUUGUGUCUAACAAUAAUGAGAUUGAGCAAUAACAGGUCUGUGAUGCCCUUAGAUGUCCUGGGCUGCACGCGCGCUACAAUGAAGGUAUCAACGUGUGUUUCCUAGGCCGAGAGGUCCGGGUAAACCGCUGAACCACCUUCUUGCUUGGGAUUGUGAACUGAAACUGUUCACAUGAACCUGGAAUUCCCAGUAAGUGCGAGUCAUUAACUCGCAUUGAUUACGUCCCUGCCCUUUGUACACACCGCCCGUCGCUACUACCGAUUGAAUUGUUUAGUGAGGUCUCCGGACGUGAUCGCUUUAACGCCUCUUGUGUGUUGAAGUUGCUUCACAGAAGUUGACCGAAC